AAAAAAAAAAAUAAUAAUAGAACAAUGUUAUAUUUACACAAAUUAAGUAAUGAGUAAUCCACUAAUUAUUAUAAAAAACUACAAUUAAACUACUUAUAGUAUUCACAAAUAAUAUGAAAUUCAAUAAAUCAAGAACAAACCUAAUAGUUAAAUUUUAAUCUCCAAUACUAUAUAUUAUUCAAUAAUUAAUUCCCUUCCUUCUCAAUAUUUUGCUAUGAAAAUUGGAGUGGCAGAGACCAUUGAAGGUAGGGCUAGCAGCAGGCCGGUACUCCGGCACCAGCCUUCCCGACUUGUACCUUACACCACAAGCAUUACACAGCGUUUUCUGCCCCAUCGGCCCCAUUCUCCAUUGCGGCGUUUUAUCAGUUUGGCAAUGACUGCACCUUCUCUUCUUCUUCAUCAUCACCACACCUUUGCUCUGUUUCUCAUUGGGGAAGCCUACACGAGUCUUACUUCCUUCUGGUUUCUCAAGUGUAGUUUUCUCUUCAGUCAUCUGAAAACCAGCCGGAGAGCGGUUACAAUGCAGGGUUUCUUUUUCUGGGGUUAAAAACAAAUCAGGCAAAGAGAUGAAAUCGUCGGAGAAACUGGGAAACCAUUCCAGGUCCGCUAAUGGAUCUUGAGGUAUACAGAGUUGGCUCUGUGUGCUCUUUUUGUAGUGAUCCAAAGCAAGGUCUGGUAGGUCGCUCAUAUCAUCCGCCAUUGGAGGAGCAAUUUAGACAAAAGAAUUGAAAAUUACUGUGAUAUAUAUAGG
rnacentral:misc_RNA from 1 species